GACGAACGCUGGCGGCGUGCCUAAUACAUGCAAGUCGAGCGAAUCAAAGGGAGCUUGCUCCCUAAGAUUAGCGGCGGACGGGUGAGUAACACGUGGGUAACCUGCCUGUAAGACUGGGAUAACUUCGGGAAACCGGAGCUAAUACCGGAUAGUUUCUUUUCUCGCAUGAGAGAAGAUGGAAAGAUGGUUCUGCUAUCACUUACAGAUGGACCCGCGGCGCAUUAGCUAGUUGGUGAGGUAACGGCUCACCAAGGCGACGAUGCGUAGCCGACCUGAGAGGGUGAUCGGCCACACUGGGACUGAGACACGGCCCAGACUCCUACGGGAGGCAGCAGUAGGGAAUCUUCCGCAAUGGACGAAAGUCUGACGGAGCAACGCCGCGUGAGCGAAGAAGGCCUUCGGGUCGUAAAGCUCUGUUGUUAGGGAAGAACAAGUAUCGGAGUAACUGCCGGUACCUUGACGGUACCUAACCAGAAAGCCACGGCUAACUACGUGCCAGCAGCCGCGGUAAAAC
rnacentral:rRNA from 1 species